rfam:Sphingopyxis bauzanensis strain DSM 22271 NODE_3_length_851420_cov_46.3041, whole genome shotgun sequence.
GCCGCUUUAGCUCAGUUGGUAGAGCACAUCAUUCGUAAUGAUGGGGUCACAGGUUCGAGUCCUGUAAGCGGCA